GUGGGGAAUUUUGGACAAUGGGCGCAAGCCUGAUCCAGCAAUGCCGCGUGCAGGAAGAAGGCCUUCGGGUUGUAAACUGCUUUUGUACGGAACGAAACGGUCCUGGUUAAUGCCUGGGGCUAAUGACGGUACCGUAAGAAUAAGCACCGGCUAACUACGUGCCAGCAGCCGCGGUAAUACGUAGGGUGCAAGCGUUAAUCGGAAUUACUGGGCGUAAAGCGUGCGCAGGCGGUUUUGUAAGACAGGCGUGAAAUCCCCGGGCUCAACCUGGGAAUUGCGCUUGUGACUGCAAGGCUGGAGUGCGGCAGAGGGGGAUGGAAUUCCGCGUGUAGCAGUGAAAUGCGUAGAUAUGCGGAGGAACACCGAUGGCGAAGGCAAUCCCCUGGGCCUGCACUGACGCUCAUGCACGAAAGCGUGGGGAGCAAACAGGAUUAGAUACCCCGGUAGUCC
rnacentral:rRNA from 1 species